rnacentral:rRNA from 1 species
AUGAAAGGGUGGAAAUUGGCCCUACUAAGUCUGGACGGGAGGUUGGACUUGGUUAAGAAGGUCUUGUCAGCAAUGCCAAUCUUCCAAAUGAUUGCAACUCAUAUGCCAACCUGGCUGGAGAAGAUGAUCGACAAGGUUAGGUGAGGGUUCCUUUGGGAAAGCAAGGAAGAGGCCACUGGUGGCAAAUGCUUGGUAAACUGGAAAAGGGUUUGUCGCCCAACUGAAUUUGGUGGCUUACGGAUCAUAAAUCUUGCGGCGCAGAGUAUUGUGCUCUGUGCCAGGUGGCUUUGGCAAACGUGGACUGAUGGGAGUAAACCGUGGCUUGGUCUGGACAUGCCUAUCGACCUGAAUGUCAGGGCACUAUUCAAUGCAUUAGUCGUCUUCCACCUUGGCAAUGCAGAGCGAAUUUCCUUCUGGAAGGAACCAUGGCACAACAGCAUUAGCCUCCAGAACACCCACCCGGCGUUGUUGGCGCACUGCACCAGGAAAAACUUAACAGUUGCGCAGGCGUUGUUGGAUAGAAGGUGGAUCAACCACCUCAAGCGAAACCUGACAGUUGAGGCAACGCGGGAGUUUACUGCACUUUGGGCGGAGGUAAAUCACAUGGAGCUAGGCAGUGGGCUGGACACCGUCUCUUGGAGAUGGACAAAUGAUGGCAUCUACAGAUGUCGGGUGGUUAGUGCGACAUAUGCCAAGGGAUGGCUUAUCAUUGUGGGAGCCAAUAAAACGUCGCCGGUGCCCGGAAACGGGAUGAGGCGAAGACAUGCACGCCGGCGAAUCUUACCCAGGUUCGGGGCUCUCCGAGGAGAUAACACCCCCAGUCCUGCUCUGCGGGGUCUCCGUAUGAUCACUAGAUCGAUAAAGGGUAGCUACAAUCGCUCCUAG